rnacentral:rRNA from 1 species
CUACGGGUGGCAGCAGUAGGGAAUAUUGCACAAUGGACGAAAGUCUGAUGCAGCGACGCCGCGUGAGGGAUGAAGGCCUUCGGGUUGUAAACCUCGAUCUACCGGGAUGAACAAUGACGUUACCGGAAGAGAAGUGCCGGCUAACUCCGUGCCAGCAGCUGCGGUAAUACGGAGAGCACGAGCGUUACCCGGAAUUACUGGACGUAGAGGGCGUGUAGGCGGCCAGGUGACCCACGUGUGAAAAGCUCCGGCUUACCCGGAGCCCUGCGCGUGGAAAUGUCUGGCUCGAGGGUGCUAGAGGUGAGCGGAAUUCCAGGAGUAGCGGUGAAAUGCGUUGAUAUCUGGAGGAACGCCAAAGGCGAAGGCAGCUCACUGGGGCACUCCUGACGCUGAGGCGCGAAAGCCAGGGUAGCAAACGGGAUUAGAUACCCGGGUAGUC